rnacentral:piRNA from 1 species
UGCCUAGACAGAAGAAUGAACGAUUACAUU